GAAAACCGCAAUCCCUGCUUCAAAUUGAGUAUAUGUCGCCACCAAGUUCUGCUAUGUCUUAUGCAUGGAACUCUGUUUUGGAACUACAGCUGAAACUGGAGGGUUUACUAUGAAAUUCCAAUUCAAUGUUAUGAGAUUGUGAUUCUUCAUGGGACAAACUGAGGUUGGCUAGUAUGUUGUAGUUGCCCUCCUUGGAAUGAGCUUGAAGAUAGAUCUUGUUUGCAUAUGGAAUGACUUAAAAGUCAAGUUAUGUAGAAAUAGGAAUUGUAGAUGUUGUGUUUUUUUUUUUGUGAAAUUGGGCUUUGUAAUAUGAUCUUUGUAGUUAUAACUUGUAGCUUGAAUGGAAAAUGGAUUUUUUUUUUGUUAUUAAAUGGAUAUUUAUUAUUAUUAAAAUGGAUAUUUAUUGUUAAAA